UGAGCAAUCUGCCCUUCACAUCGGGAUGACCCCCGGAAACGGGAGCUAAUACCGGAUACGACCACUUCAGGCAUCUGAUGGUGGUGGAAAGUUCUGGCGGUGAAGGAUGAGCUCGCGGCCUAUCAGCUUGUUGGUGAGGUAAUAGCUCACCAAGGCGAUGACGGGUAGCUGGCCUGGAGGGGGUGACCGGCCACACGUGGGACUGAGACACGGCCCAGACCUCUACGGGA
rnacentral:rRNA from 1 species